UUUGCUUUGUCUACGCACCCUUACGGCUGCAGGGUGAUCCAGAGGAUCCUAGAGCACUGUCUCCCUGACCAGACUCUCCCGAUCCUCGAGGAGCUUCACCAGCACACGGAGCAGCUCGUACAGGAUCAGUAUGGAAAUUAUGUAAUCCAACAUGUACUGGAGCAUGGUCGUCCUGAGGAUAAAAGCAAAAUUGUAGCAGAGAUCCGAGGCAAUGUACUUGUAUUGAGUCAGCACAAGUUUGCAAGCAAUGUUGUGGAGAAGUGUGUCACUCACGCCUCACGUACAGAGCGUGCUGUGCUCAUUGAUGAGGUAUGCACCAUGAACGACGGUCCCCACAGUGCCUUAUACACCAUGAUGAAGGAUCAGUAUGCCAACUAUGUGGUCCAGAAGAUGAUCGAUGUGGCCGAGCCAGGUCAGCGGAAGAUCGUCAUGCACAAGGUAAGCAAGCUGGG